GCCAUGAGCGUCCCCCUCCUGUGCUGGGGGGUCUGGGGUCUCCUGCAGGCAGGUGUGGUGAGGGCUGGGGUCUCUCAGAUCCCCGGAUUCCAAAUCCUGAAGACAGGACAGAGCAGGAACCUGAGUUGUGUCCAGGAUAUGGGGCACAACUACAUGUACUGGUAUCGCCAGGACCCAGGACUCGGGCUCAGGCUGAUCUACUACUCAUCGGGUCCUAAUGCCAAAGCCACGGGAGACAUUCCCGAUGGGUACGAGGUCUCUAGACCAGACAUAAACAACUUCCUGCUCACGCUGGGGUCUGCCAACCGCUCAACGACAGCUGUGUACUUCUGUGCCACCAGCUAUGCACAGUGCUGCAGGCUCACCUCCUCUCUGCACAAGAAGUUGGGGGCCCUGCACCCCGGGGCUCAUCAGAGCUCUUGUACACUGUCAGCACAGGGAGCCCUGCAGCCCUGGGGUCCCCGCCCAAUGUGUGAACCGGGUGAGUGA